UACGGAGGGGGCUAGCGUUAUUCGGAAUUAUUGGGCGUAAAGGGCGCGUAGGCGGCUCGGUAAGUCAAAGGUGAAAUCCCUCGGCUCAACUGAGGAACUGCCUUUGAAACUGUCGGGCUUGAGGCCGGGAGGGGGUAGCGGAAUUCCCAGUGUAGCGGUGAAAUGCGUAGAUAUUGGGAGGAACACCGGUGGCGAAGGCGGCUACCUGGACCGGUUCUGACGCUGAUGCGCGAAAGCGUGGGUAGCAAACAGG
rnacentral:rRNA from 1 species